rnacentral:rRNA from 1 species
UACGUAGGGGGCGAGCGUUGUCCGGAUUUAUUGGGCGUAAAGAGCGUGUAGGCGGCCAGGUAGGUCGGUUGUGAAAACUGGAGGCUUAACCUUCAGACGUCGACCGAAACCAUCUGGCUAGAGUCCGGAAGAGGAGAGUGGAAUUCCUGGUGUAGCGGUGAAAUGCGCAGAUAUCAGGAAGAACACCCGUGGCGAAGGCGGCUCUCUGGGACGGUACUGACGCUGAGACGCGAAAGCCAGGGGAGCAAACGGG